rnacentral:rRNA from 1 species
UAAGGGCGCACGGUGGAUGCCUUGGCACUAGAAGCCGAUGAAGGACGUUACUAACGACGAUAUGCUUUGGGGAGCUGUAAGUAAGCUUUGAUCCAGAGAUUUCCGAAUGGGGAAACCCAGCAUGAGUUAUGUCAUGUUAUCGAUAUGUGAAUACAUAGCAUAUCAGAAGGCACACCCGGAGAACUGAAACAUCUUAGUACCCGGAGGAAGAGAAAGAAAAUUCGAUUCCCUUAGUAGCGGCGAGCGAAACGGGAAGAGCCCAAACCAACAAGCUUGCUUGUUGGGGUUGUAGGACACUCUAUACGGAGUUACAAAGGACGACAUUAGACGAAUCAUCUGGAAAGAUGAAUCAAAGAAGGUAAUAAUCCUGUAGUCGAAAAUGUUGUCUCUCUUGAGUGGAUCCUGAGUACGACGGAGCACGUGAAAUUCCGUCGGAAUCUGGGAGGACCAUCUCCUAAGGCUAAAUACUCUCUAGUGACCGAUAGUGAACCAGUACCGUGAGGGAAAGGUGAAAAGCACCCCGGAAGGGGAGUGAAAUAGAACCUGAAACCGUGUGCUUACAAGUAGUCAGAGCCCGUUAAUGGGUGAUGGCGUGCCUUUUGUAGAAUGAACCGGCGAGUUACGAUUUGAUGCAAGGUUAAGCAGUAAAUGUGGAGCCGUAGCGAAAGCGAGUCUGAAUAGGGCGUUUAGUAUUUGGUCGUAGACCCGAAACCAGGUGAUCUACCCUUGGUCAGGUUGAAGUUCAGGUAACACUGAAUGGAGGACCGAACCGACUUACGUUGAAAAGUGAGCGGAUGAACUGAGGGUAGCGGAGAAAUUCCAAUCGAACCUGGAGAUAGCUGGUUCUCUCCGAAAUAGCUUUAGGGCUAGCCUCAAGUGAUGAUUAUUGGAGGUAGAGCACUGUUUGGACGAGGGGCCCCUCUCGGGUUACCGAAUUCAGACAAACUCCGAAUGCCAAUUAAUUUAACUUGGGAGUCAGAACAUGGGUGAUAAGGUCCGUGUUCGAAAGGGAAACAGCCCAGACCACCAGCUAAGGUCCCAAAAUAUAUGUUAAGUGGAAAAGGAUGUGGCGUUGCCCAGACAACUAGGAUGUUGGCUUAGAAGCAGCCAUCAUUUAAAGAGUGCGUAAUAGCUCACUAGUCGAGUGACACUGCGCCGAAAAUGUACCGGGGCUAAACAUAUUACCGAAGCUGUGGAUUGUCCUUUGGACAAUGGUAGGAGAGCGUUCUAAGGGCGUUGAAGCAUGAUCGUAAGGACAUGUGGAGCGCUUAGAAGUGAGAAUGCCGGUGUGAGUAGCGAAAGACGGGUGAGAAUCCCGUCCACCGAUUGACUAAGGUUUCCAGAGGAAGGCUCGUCCGCUCUGGGUUAGUCGGGUCCUAAGCUGAGGCCGACAGGCGUAGGCGAUGGAUAACAGGUUGAUAUUCCUGUACCACCUAUAAUCGUUUUAAUCGAUGGGGGGACGCAGUAGGAUAGGCGAAGCGUGCGAUUGGAUUGCACGUCUAAGCAGUAAGGCUGAGUAUUAGGCAAAUCCGGUACUCGUUAAGGCUGAGCUGUGAUGGGGAGAAGACAUUGUGUCUUCGAGUCGUUGAUUUCACACUGCCGAGAAAAGCCUCUAGAUAGAAAAUAGGUGCCCGUACCGCAAACCGACACAGGUAGUCAAGAUGAGAAUUCUAAGGUGAGCGAGCGAACUCUCGUUAAGGAACUCGGCAAAAUGACCCCGUAACUUCGGGAGAAGGGGUGCUCUUUAGGGUUAACGCCCAGAAGAGCCGCAGUGAAUAGGCCCAAGCGACUGUUUAUCAAAAACACAGGUCUCUGCUAAACCGUAAGGUGAUGUAUAGGGGCUGACGCCUGCCCGGUGCUGGAAGGUUAAGAGGAGUGGUUAGCUUCUGCGAAGCUACGAAUCGAAGCCCCAGUAAACGGCGGCCGUAACUAUAACGGUCCUAAGGUAGCGAAAUUCCUUGUCGGGUAAGUUCCGACCCGCACGAAAGGCGUAACGAUUUGGGCACUGUCUCAACGAGAGACUCGGUGAAAUCAUAGUACCUGUGAAGAUGCAGGUUACCCGCGACAGGACGGAAAGACCCCGUGGAGCUUUACUGUAGCCUGAUAUUGAAAUUCGGCACAGCUUGUACAGGAUAGGUAGGAGCCUUUGAAACGUGAGCGCUAGCUUACGUGGAGGCGCUGGUGGGAUACUACCCUAGCUGUGUUGGCUUUCUAACCCGCACCACUUAUCGUGGUGGGAGACAGUGUCAGGCGGGCAGUUUGACUGGGGCGGUCGCCUCCUAAAAGGUAACGGAGGCGCUCAAAGGUUCCCUCAGAAUGGUUGGAAAUCAUUCAUAGAGUGUAAAGGCAUAAGGGAGCUUGACUGCGAGACCUACAAGUCGAGCAGGGUCGAAAGACGGACUUAGUGAUCCGGUGGUUCCGCAUGGAAGGGCCAUCGCUCAACGGAUAAAAGCUACCCCGGGGAUAACAGGCUUAUCUCCCCCAAGAGUUCACAUCGACGGGGAGGUUUGGCACCUCGAUGUCGGCUCAUCGCAUCCUGGGGCUGUAGUCGGUCCCAAGGGUUGGGCUGUUCGCCCAUUAAAGCGGUACGCGAGCUGGGUUCAGAACGUCGUGAGACAGUUCGGUCCCUAUCCGUCGUGGGCGUAGGAAAUUUGAGAGGAGCUGUCCUUAGUACGAGAGGACCGGGAUGGACAUACCUCUGGUGUACCAGUUGUCGUGCCAACGGCAUAGCUGGGUAGCUAUGUGUGGACG